rnacentral:rRNA from 1 species
ACUUGCCUACAUCGUAGCGUUAAUGCAUAAGAUCCCAUUAGAACUCUAUAGUUAAGCGUGCUCAAGCUAGGGUAGUACUAGGAUGGGUGACCGCCUGGGAAGUCCUAAUGUUUUGCAUGCC